rnacentral:rRNA from 1 species
GAUGAACGCUAGCGGCAGGCUUAAUACAUGCAAGUCGAGGGGCAGCAUGACUGUAGCAAUACAGUUGAUGGCGACCGGCAAGCGGGUGCGGAACACGUACAGAACCUUCCUUCGAGCGGGGAAUAGCCCAGAGAAAUUUGGAUUAAUACCCCAUAGAACUAUGAAGUGGCAUCACUUUAUACUUAAAGAUUUAUCACUUGAAGAUGGCUGUGCGGCUGAUUAGGUAGUUGGCGGGGUAACGGCCACCAAGCCUGCGAUCAGUAACUGGUGUGAGAGCACGACCAGUCACACGGGCACUGAGACACGGGCCCGACUCCUACGGGAGGCAGCAGUAAGGAAUAUUGGUCAAUGGACGAAAGUCUGAACCAGCCAUGCCGCGUGGAGGAUGAAGGCCCUCUGGGUUGUAAACUUCUUUUAUAUGGGACGAAAAAGGGUCUUUCUAGAUCAACUGACGGUACCAUGUGAAUAAGCACCGGCUAACUCCGUUGCCAGCCAGCCGCAGGUAAUAC